rnacentral:rRNA from 1 species
CAUGCAAAUUCGAGCGGACCGGAUUCAGGGCUUUGCCUUGAUUUGGUCAGCGGCGGACGGGUGAGUAACACGUGGGCAACCUGCCCGCAAGACCGGGAUAACUCCGGGAAACCGGAGCUAAUACCGGAUAACACCGAAGACCGCAUGGUCUUCGGUUGAAAGGCGGCCUUUGGCUGUCACUUGCGGAUGGGCCCGCGGCGCAUUAGCUAGUUGGUGAGGUAACGGCUCACCAAGGCGACGAUGCGUAGCCGGCCUGAGAGGGUGACCGGCCACACUGGGACUGAGACACGGCCCAGACUCCUACGGGAGGCAGCAGUAGGGAAUCUUCCGCAAUGGACGAAAGUCUGACGGAGCGACGCCGCGUGAGCGAAGAAGGCCUUCGGGUCGUAAAGCUCUGUUGUGAGGGACGAAGGAGCGCCGUUUGAACAAGGCGGCGCGGUGACGGUACCUCACGAGAAAGCCCCGGCUAACUACGUGCCAGCCGCCGCGGUAAUACA